rnacentral:rRNA from 1 species
ACUCCUACGGGAGGCAGCAGUGGGGAAUAUUGCACAAUGGGCGCAAGCCUGAUGCAGCAACGCCGCGUGAGGGACGACGGCCUUCGGGUUGUAAACCUCUUUUAGUAGGGAAGAAGCGAAAGUGACGGUACCUGCAGAAAAAGCACCGGCUAACUACGUGCCAGCAGCCGCGGUAAUACGUAGGGUGCAAGCGUUAUCCGGAAUUAUUGGGCGUAAAGAGCUCGUAGGCGGUUUGUCGCGUCUGCUGUGAAAACUGGAGGCUCAACCUCCAGCCUGCAGUGGGUACGGGCAGACUAGAGUGCGGUAGGGGAGAUUGGAAUUCCUGGUGUAGCGGUGGAAUGCGCAGAUAUCAGGAGGAACACCGAUGGCGAAGGCAGAUCUCUGGGCCGUAACUGACGCUGAGGAGCGAAAGCAUGGGGAGCGAACAGGAUUAGAUACCCUGGUAGUCCAUGCCGUAAACGUUGGGAACUAGAUGUAGGGACCAUUCCACGGUUUCUGUGUCGCAGCUAACGCAUUAAGUUCCCCGCCUGGGGAGUACGGCCGCAAGGCUAAAACUCAAAGGAAUUGACGGGGGCCCGCACAAGCGGCGGAGCAUGCGGAUUAAUUCGAUGCAACGCGAAGAACCUUACCAAGGCUUGACAUAUACCGGAAAAGUGCAAAAAUGUACUCCCCGCAAGGUCGGUAUACAGGUGGUGCAUGGUUGUCGUCAGCUCGUGUCGUGAGAUGUUGGGUUAAGUCCCGCAACGAGCGCAACCCUCGUUCUAUGUUGCCAGCCCGUAAUGGUGGGAACUCAUAGGAAACUGCCGGGGUCAACUCGGA